rnacentral:misc_RNA from 1 species
GCUUAUAGUUCAUUCUUGAUUUAUCCUUUUCAUAAUUUCUUUCGUGGUUUGCUUCAUUCUUUAGAAUCACUGCAAAGCAAGGAUACCCAUUUGGGUUUUGCUGCAUUUUUCACAAUCUCUUUGUAAUUCUCUCAUCUGGGUUUUCUUCAUUUGCUCUUUCUAUAUAUACAUUCAAGAAGAUAUCUUUAAAGGGGUUUCUUGGAUAUAUCCUUUCUGAGAAUCAGCUAUGGGGGAUUUGGGCGACUCAGCGACAGUGCAAAUAACAGGCAAGAUCAUGGUGCUUGCCGUAAUGAUUUUAUUUAUGGUGGUGGUUUUUGUUCUCUUGCUUCAUCUCUAUGCAAAAUGGUUUUGGUGGCGCGUUGAAGAGCCUAAUCCUCCGGCACGUUCUCGUCGGAACCGCCGCCGUUUCGUUUUUACCCCUGGUCAGGACCCAGUGCGGAGAGGGCUUGACCUCUCAGUCCUCAGAUCCCUACCAGUUGUAAUUUUCCAAUCCAAAGACUUCAAAGAUGGGUUGGAAUGCGCAGUUUGCUUAUCUGAAGUUGCAGAAGGGGAAAAAACGAGGUUGUUGCCCAAAUGCAACCAUGGAUUCCAUGUUGAUUGUAUUGACAUGUGGUUUCAAUCCCACUCCACUUGCCCUCUCUGUAGAAACUCAGUAGCGCCAUUACCCGAAUGCUCCAGCUUCGACAGUAAUGAUUUGCAAGAUAAUAUUCAUUCUCCAGAGGAAAUUUUGGCUUCUGGGUAUUCGACAGAAUCUCCAAAUUUUCCCACAAAUGUGUUGUUUUGGGGGGACCAGACUCAAGUAAGCACUGGCGGCGGAGGCGGCGGCUUGGAAGAAGGAACUUCCACUCAAGCACCUUCUUCUUCUUCUUCUUCCUCUUCUUCUUCUACUAGGCAAGAUGAGAUGCUAGUUAUUGAUAUUCCUGUGCAAAUGAGUGACAAUUUUCCUGAGGAAGAAUCCAAGUCGCCAAUGCCUACACAACGGUUAAGGUCGUUGAAGAGGCUUUUGAGCAGGGAAAAAAGGGUGGCUCCUGGUAGUUCUAGUUCAGUUGAUGUCUAAUCAACGAGGAGAUGAUGUGUAUUUUGUAUGUAAGUCUUGAAAAGAGAGAAAGAAAUUGCCAAUGGAUGACUGAAGAUAUUGCUUUAUCUCGUCAACAUUGGCUUGGUUCGGUUAGAAGUUACAAGUUAAUGAAAUUGAGUCCUGUUCAAUAUAAUCCUUUAGAAUUGGUUCU